GGCGCAUAUAAUUCACGAGUGAGUUUUCUUCGGUGACAGAUGAACUUGAAAGUGGUUUAUUGAUUUUAUAGACUUUCACACUUGGCGAUUUUGGCAUCUUGACACGGUAUACAGAAAUCUGCUUUUGUGUCGUUACAGGAUCUAGACAACCAACAGAGGCGGAUUUAGAGGGUUUUUCAGGGGGCUUGACCCCUCCCUUUUCUGGAUAAAAAAUGGUUGAUUAUUUAGGUAAUCACUUGAGCAUGACUGGAGCGGUCCCCUUCUUUGCAGUCAGUGAGUCAUUGACCAAUGCAAUAUUCUGCCCAUUGUUCUUGCAAUUCUCCACAAAUAAUCUUGGUCCAUUUACAUUCAGACUAUAUGCAGAGGCCAUUUGCCUUCACCUUUCUCUAUUAAGAUUAAUCCAGGUCAAUGUUUGUCUGAGAGAUAUUUUCAUUAUUUUGGGGGUCUACAAGACUUAAGUGCUCUCCAUGCAUCCUAUUGUGGCGUUUAGUUCAAUUGUUUUUUCAACAAAAAAUACAUAAAUAAUCUACAUAAGAAAAUGCCUGUACUUAGUCAGGAAUAGGACAGUUGUUAUCCUUUGGUUUGAUGUGUUUUAUCAUACUGCCUGUACCAAGUCAGGAAUAGGACAGUUGUUAUCCUUUGGUUUGAUGUGUUUUAUCAUAAUGCCUGUACCAAGUCAGGAAUAGGACAGUUGUUAUCCUUUGGUUUGAUGUGUUUUAUCAUUUGAUUUUGCCAUUUGAUUAGAAAC
rnacentral:lncRNA from 1 species